rnacentral:lncRNA from 1 species
CAAUAUUCUAAACAAAAAAAAGAAGGUUUACAUGAGGGCUGUUUUAUGGAAAGGAGUCAGGAGAGUUAGAUAGCUCCUUGGAGGUCCAGUAAAAGACAGAAAGUCACCCAGCUGAAAGGAACAGCCUAACCUUGGCACUUGAAUUCUCCUUAUGUAAUUCGGUGCUGAGAACUUAAAAAUGAUGGCCUUUAUGAGCCUCGCUACUUAGCACAUAGUUUAGCUCAAGCAGGCUCCAUUCCACCACUAAAUUAGACAUGAAAGGGAUACAAGAUUCAGAAGUGCAAUGGCUUUGUCCUUUUAGUCUAGAUGCCUCCAGUUUUUCCCAAGGAGCAAUAGCUGGAAUAUCUCUAUGACACUAUCUAGGUCUUAUUUGAGUACCUUAUGGUACAGAAGGGAGGAGAAUAAGAAGAAAAAAGAAUCACAUAUCAGUCAUCAGAGUAGUAAAUGUCAUUUUUAUAAUUGAUCUAAAUUUCAUACAUUGGUAUUUAUUACCAGAAACUUCUAUAUAUGGAGGCAGCUGUUAUUUCCUUUAAUGGGCUUAUUUUACUCCUCUGCCCACAUACUUCCUUUGCUUCAAGCAUGCCUUCCUGGCAACAUUGAUUAUGAAUCAUUUUACUUCUGACAACUGUUCUGAGUACAGCUUUUAGAAAGCCAUGAAAUCCUUCCUUCCCCAAGGUGUUUUAGGUACCAAAAAAAGUGCUAAUAAUAUAAAAAUUAAUGUUUUUAACAGUCUUGUCUACAGUGAAGAAAGAGAAACUGGUUCAUAUUGUUACCAAGGCAAAGCUAUUUUUGUUCAGUGCUGUUCACUACGAGGUGUCCCUCAGCCAUGAGACGUCAAUUCUGAUCUUACUGAAGGCCGGAACCAAUUGGUUUUAUGUCUUCAGUGUUUCCUCAGCUGCCUUUAAUGCAUGGGCCAUUAAUGCACUGCGGAUACACAGCCAACAUUCAUCCGCUCACUCAGCCAGACAUCUGGAGCUCAGUGGCAUUUGACCUCUUCUUCACUCUGGACCAGGCAGCGUGGGCAGGUUUCAUUACACUCCCUGGUGCCUUUAUGUUGCCACACAGAUGGACACUCCAGACCCUGACGUGGAUACCUCACUCCUGCCUUGGCUCCAGAUGUUUUCUUCAGACUGUGUAUGUAAGUAAAGGAAUCAACAGCUAAUUUCAUGAAGGGAGGAAGGGAGGGG